ensembl:lncRNA
GACUUCAGUCAGCACAGUGUCUGGAGACCUUGUUGAUAUAAGACACAAUAUGGAAGUGAAGCCAUUAAAUCAAGCAGGGUCUGCAACUGUCAUACUGCUAUUUGAAAUGUUAUUGAGACCAGUGAGGAGGAGGACAGAAUACUCCAGCUGUAGGACUCUGCACUUGCCUUCAUUGAACCUCAUCUGGAUCCUCUCUGCUGAGCUCUCCAGCCUGUCCAGGUCUUGCUGAAUGGCAGCACAGCCUUCUGGUAAAGCUCAGUCACUGAAUCUAUCUACUCCUUCUCCCAUCUCUGCAGCUCCCCUCCCCUCUGAUACUCAAAGCCAAGGCAUGAAGUUACAUCUCUCUAUUUCUUCCAUCAGUUAUUGUGGUAUGUGAGUUCCACUAAGACAUGGGCACGUUCCAAAAAUAACACGCAAAUAAGGACUUCUGUGUUUUCAAGGCCUGACCCAAAAUAUUUAUCUAUCGAGAAGUUGAAAUUCUCACGAGCAAUGGGCGAAGUUUGGAGGAGAGGAGAUCUGCAGCAAGCCUGCUCAUAACACUGAAUCUGAAGCAAGAAGUACUAUAGCAUAAAGAAUAAAGGCUAAACCAUAAACAAAAUGUCAGUAGAAAUCUAUGUGUUAAUAUUAUAACUCACAUCAAUCAUUUUUGUAUUAGAAAGAAGUGAUAAUCAAAGCAUAGGUGUUUAUAGGGAUUACUACAAAUUCUUGAAUGAUUUAUUACUGCCAGCACAGUAAUGAAUUGCUUAUGGUAAACCGGGGAUUCACAGUUUCCCAGAAGGAGUAUUCCCCCACAACAGGAUACAAAUAAUUCCCAUUGACUUCAGCGCUUUUCCUGCUGUGAAGAACUAUUAAUUUAUUGGCUCUGGUGCCAAUUUGAAUUUGCAUCAGGAAAAUGAAAUCCUAAAGAAACAAAUUAAGAAUGCCUGUCUAUUUCUUAAAUCUAUUUCAAAUAUUCCUCUCCCUUAGUUGGAAGGAAAAAAAAAAAAUCUACAUAAAUCAAACUCCUCUACAGAGACCCAAAAUUCUAACAUCAACUAUAAACAAAAAUACAUGGUCAGUAUAGAGCAGAAGGGGCAAUUAAAGCCCUAAGGAGCUGAAAGAUUUGUCAUGAAAGUAAUUGUUUGUUAGCUGGUGAAAUCUGUCCAGGAGACACACAUUUUACAAACAAGAUGCCUUCACCCUGCAGAUGCACAUAGGUGCACACUCCCUCACCAACUUGCAUAGUCACCUCGCUGAAAUUAUGUAUUUGUUUCAUUUAUCAGACAAGAGCAAGUACAUUAAAAAAAAAAAUCAACCCAAAUAGUAGAUUCUUCCUUCUGCUAGGCAUGUGUGUACACACCCAUCCUGUCCAUCUAUAUCACUUGUCUGACAAUUUACCUGGUGCACAAAAAAAAAAGAAAAACUCCUCUUUGAGAACCAUAUGUGGAGAAAAAUCAUUGCUUUCAAGGAGACAUAAAUGGUAAUAUUUAAGACCAGCAGAUGGGCAAUCAGAGAACUACUGGCAUACCUCAUUAGUUAUCUGAGAUUUCCACUGUAGGAAAGUGCUUUCAAGAGAUCAAUGAAAUGUGCAUGUUUGGUAGCUGAGUGAACAGGACUGGUGUAUAUUUCUUACCUCCUCCUUGCAGACAUCUGGAUGGGGUGCCACUUGAUGACAGGAGACACAACCAGAGAACUUACUCCAGCACGGUGACUAACAUGGAAGGAGAUUCUACUGCAACCUUCACUGGAAUGGCAGCACUGAAGAAAUCACUCCUGGAAAAAACAAGAAUUAUUACAUUACUCUCAGACAUCCUAGAAGGACUAAAGAUGUCAGUGAAACUAUCAGCACAGGUUAGGGAACAAAUACGGAAAGGCAGGAAAAGAGGGCUUUUAAUCAGGAAGAAAAUGCAUGUAGUAUUCUCCAAACUUAAAUCAGAAGUUUUGUACGUGAUGCAGGAUUUAGGUUCAGAUGAGCCUUUCCAAGUUAAUGGAGAUGCACAAAACUGAGUAAAAUAUGGAAAUAAAUCCUUGUAAAAGUCACCUCUAUGAAGCAAAUUAGAACUAUGCAACAGAUUUGUUACUUUCAACCUCCCAUAUAAAAACAAGAAGUCUUGUGCUUGACAUCCCCAACAUGUACCAUCAUGUCUCUGAUUGUACUAGUAAAGUCAGAUGAGUUCCAUCUUCAAUAAAUUGAGGGGAAGAUUGUAUUAUGAUAAAGCAGUUCAAAACUACCACAGAAAUUUUAUGCCAAGUUGGAAAGAGAAUAUUGAAUAUUCUCACUGAAUAUUCAGUACCUUAUAUGCUAGCAGGACAGUUCAGGAACAGAGCAUUUAAUCUAUAGACUUAUUUCCCUUUUAAGGAAACCCCAAAAGAUCUAACAGUUAGCACGUAAACAAGAUUAUAAGCAAUGCAUUUGCUGGAGUUGGUUUGCACUUGUUGAAGAAAGCAGGGACACCCCUUAUAACUAAAUAACAAAGGUUUUGCUGGACAGAGAUGAAGUGAACAUGCAGUUUUGUAAAGAACUUAAAAGGGAGCUGGGAACAAAGUGAGGCCUCAUCCUCCAUUUUUUAAUGUUUUUUGAAACACCUGCCAUUCAGUUAGCUCCUAAACUCCAAAAAUAAAGCAUCCCUUCAAAGCAUUUUCAUGGGCCCUAAGGCCAGGCAAUUGCUGAUCUGGAUGAGUCGAGAGCAUCUACUACAGAGGAAACAACAGCAGGAAGUGGGGAAUUCAUCUCAGAUUUCCUCUAACUUUACUGGUUGACUGUUAAUAGGGAAACCCCACCUACAUAUCUUAUAGGGUCAGAACCAUAACUGGAGGCUAUAGGGCAUACAGCUUCGCAAUCAUUCCAUUACAGUAAGAAUGUAUGUUUCCAGCUAAGUUCACAAACAAUGCUGAAUAGCUACUCAGAAGAAGAUUAACAGGACCUCCCACUUCAUGGAAACAGUGACUGUUUACAUAAUAUGUAAUGACAGUAAAUCAUAACAAAUCCUAGGAGAAAACUCCAGUGAGAGACAAAAUAACAAGACCAUCUGAUUUUAUUUCUUUUCCCAGUCUAACAACCCACGUCCCUGUCCUGUAAGGAUUUCUUUAUAUACUUAGCUUUCAGCACAUCUGUAACGCCACAGACUUCAAUUAGUCUAAUUAAGUGCAAAAAGAAAAAGUGUGCACAUAAGGGUGUGACCUUUUUUCCCCCCUUUGUUUAUUCAGUGACUAAUGGGGUAAAAUCCCUCUUGAUAGCUUGACUUCCCUUUCGCUAUGACACAAAUAACACUAUACUUUCCACUUUGCAAGGUUAAGCAAUUAGCAUUCUAAAAACAGGGCUGAUAUAAAGUAGCACCACUAUUGAUCUCCAUUACUAUGCUGAGCUAGACCAGCUGAGGAUCUGACCCUGCCUAAGAUGGUAAUUUGUAGCGUGCAAAGGAGCUAAAACAUAUUUUUGCCAGAUAAAGAUGUGCAAAGGGACAACCAGCUCCUGAAACUCACCUGCCAUUUGAAAUUAGCUGCUAAAUAAUGCCCUGCUUCAGAAAUCCUCAUACAAUAAUUUGCUAUAUUAUAAUUCAACAUAGUUUCCUCAAGACCGACAGAUUGCAUUUCUCCCCAGGGAACUCCUGCACUCUCUUUCUGUUUCUGCAUGUGCAAUGGGCAGACCCAUAGUUACACAACCAGAACUCAUUUCCUUAAACUGAACCAUUCUGGUGUAGAUUUUCUGAAAGGACACUCCUGUGAAAAAGUUAUCAAUUCCCUACUAAAGCAAAUGAGGGGAAAGGGAAAGGGGAAAAAACAGGAAAGGGAAAAAAGAUACAGAUAACAAAAAAAAAAGAAAGAAAGAAAAAAGACAGUCUGUUCCUGAAGCUGUGCAGUAAAAGAAUGCCUGCAUUUACAGGACGAUGUGCCACUUUUAAGGGAAGGGAUUGCCUGUAGCCGAUGCGCGGUGCUAAAUGUCAGCCUGACAGUGGCUGCAGGAAUGCAAAUUCUUCACAUCAGUGCAAGAAGGAAGCAGCACGCAUCCUGGGAGUCGUCUGCAGCCUUCUAUUAGCCCCUCACAACGUGGUUAGAGCGUCCAACAUACUGCUUGGAGAGCGCUCCUGCAGUAUCUCCCCACUUUGGGUUGGAAGUGGGUUCUGGUUGCCUUUUUUCAUAUUACUAGCGAUUUAAGCAUCAAACAAAGAAACAAAAUUCAAAACAAAAUUCUCUCACGUGAACUCACUACAUACACUUCAGCGCUUGCCCAGCUCCCACUCACACAGCAGCUAAAAGAUCUGGAGGAAAAGAACAGACCUUAAUGACCACGCGUCCCUGCGCUCUGGAGUGUGGGCUACAGCAACUAAUAACAGAUGAAGGUUUACAUGUUUUUCUUGUGUUUCUGCUGGGGUUGCUGUGUCAUUAAUUCAGCCUGUGCUUGACUACUUAUGUUAAACAUUCCCUUUGUGACUUUCUCUAAAUCUUAAAUUUUGCAUGUGACCACAUGUAAAUGUAAAUGUGUAUUUUUAUGGUCCUGUAAUCUCAGUGCUUUUAAAUCCCCGUUGCCUGAAGGCACACAGGGAGCUGAAGCAGAAAAGCUUGGUCAGUUUGUGAUCAUUUAAGCUAGUUUAUUUGCUCUUUCUGAGUAUAUUCAGCUCCUGUAGAGGUUUUUGCCUUUUGUGUAAUAGAGUACAGAUAAGAUCUAGGAACCUAAUUAACCCUGCAGGGCCUGUGAACAAGGCUCAUUAGAAAACAGUCAAACACAUUUAUAUUUGAAUACCUUAUUUACAGGAAUUCAUAUCAUAUUUCUGAACCGCAGAUAUACAUGCCACAUAAUCAUACCUUAACCACUGUAAAACAUUUCCUUAAAUUAAGCUGAAAAGUGCACCAAAUUUGAGCUCAAAGUCAUCUGGAUUAUACAUGUAAAUACCUCGUGCCUUAAUAAAUAAGUAAAAUAACUCAGUAAUAAAUGAAAGUUCUGUCUGCAGGACAUUCUAAGCUAUAAUGUCUCUUCACACACAUCCCCUCCAAAAAAUCCACAUUUCACGAAAUCAGUACUUAUUGCAGCCUGAGCAGAAAACACCACUGUGAAACAAUUUCUCUGGGGAUUUCCCCCUCUGCCCAGGGCAGUGACA